rnacentral:rRNA from 1 species
CAGCGCCACGAGUGGUAACCACGUUUAUUGGGCCUAAAGCAUCCGUAGCCGGCGCUGUAAGUUUUCGGUUAAAUCUGUACGCUCAACGUACAGGCUGCCGGGAAUACUGCAGCGCUAGGGAGUGGGAGAGGUAGACGGUACUCGGUAGGAAGGGGUAAAAUCCUUUGAUCUAUUGAUGACCACCUGUGGCGAAGGCGGUCUACCAGAACACGUCCGACGGUGAGGGAUGAAAGCUGGGGGAGCAAACCGGAUUAGAUACCCGAGUAGUCC